GGUUGCGGCUCUGACCACUUCCUCCUCAGAGGUCAUGGAGCAAAGGGCACCUGCAGUGUGUGUGCGUGGGUGGUGGUUGUGGGGGGAGUUGGGAGGGUGACAUAAGAAUUUUCUCUUCCAAAAGAGGGGUGGGGAGCAUAGGGCUGGGGUGGGGUAUCCGGACUAUACUCUGCAAGAGGGAUGACAGCUUCCUGAGUCAACGGAAACUUGGGAGCAAGAAAGCUGCAGUGGAGGCUGCCGGCAGUACAGGAUGCAGGGAGAACCCAGGCCUGGGGUUGAGGCUGGGAGACGCAAUUCCAGCUUUACUGUGUGAGUUUAGCAGGACUGUCACGGGUAGAAACUGCUGGUGUGUCAUCUACAGCCUUGGAGGACAGAAUUGUGGUUAGGCACGAGGAGGUUCCAGAAGUUUCAGUUCAGUAUGAAGAAAACUUUCAGAACCAUCACAAACAGAUGAGGAAACUGAGGCAUGGAGAAGCCAGGCCACUCUUAAUUCACUUAAUGGAUCUUCCAUGCAUGUAGUCACGAUUGAACCAGCAUCCAACCCAGAGCCCAGUGUGGUCGACCCACAAAUGUUUGCCAAGUUAGCCAGGCCCUUGGUGUCUACUGGUUGAUUUCAGAAUUACCCAUGCCCGCACCAGCCUCUUCCAUAUCAUUCACUUCUGUCACCUGGCUUGCUACAUGGACGUGCUCAUGAAGGGCUGCUGAAUGACUGACCCACCGAGUACCUGUCACCUGAGGCCCAGCUUUGGCAGCUGU